CAGUAAUUCUUCACCUUUUGUACGUGUGUGAGCAUGCUUUUGUGUGUGUAUUUUUUUUUUUAAAAGGUGUCCGAGUUACAGGCAUCCAACCAGAAUCUUGAGCGUCAGAUCCAUGAUUAUCUCAACCAGAAGGCGCCGGAGGAGCGCCGAGACUUCGACGCAAAGUUUCAAACCAUCGAUGAGCUUCGCCAGCAGGUCAAUGACUACUUCUGUACGAUUUCAAAGUUAAAUCUUGAGAUUGAUCAUGCCGAGUUUGAAACCGAAGACUAUCAAAUCAAGAUUGACCAGGAGGCGAACGCCUGCCUUUCCUCCGAUUCGGAGAUCAGACUCCUGCAAGAGCUCCAGAGAAGAACGAGAGGCACUGAAUGCUGAGCUGAAGUUUGAGCUCAGUCAGAAAGAAGAGGAAAUGGCAUACCUUGGGGUUGAGCG